rnacentral:ncRNA from 1 species
UAAUAUAAUAAAUGAAUUCGUCGUAUAAUCUUGGGGAUAUGGCCCAAAAGUUUCUACCGAGCUGCCGUUAACAGCUUGACUACGAUGCAAAUAUAAGGCAGG